ACAUUUAUAAUAUAAAAAGGCAAACACAGAAUCAUCUAUGGGUUCAGUUAAGUAUGGGAGUAGUCAACUAUGAUGUUCCCGAGGUGGGGCUGCAUUUAUAGGACCCACUUAGGUAGCAUGUUUAUUUUUAACCUUAGUUUGAUGUCUGAGUUCAAGGCAGGCCUCUGCUCGAAAUAAGAGACCAGAACGUUCGGUUCUAUCUUGUCAGGUUCUAGGACCGCCGUAAUAACCAAUAGGGAUAGUAGGAUGUGUCAGUAUCCAGCUGUCAGAGAUGAAGUUCUUGGAUUGGCCGAAGACUCACUGUGAAAUCAUUUGCCAAGGGAUGUUUUCACAAAUUGAAGGAAUGAGAGUUAGGGGAUUGAUGACCUUCCAAUACUAUUAUAGUCUUAACUAUAGACUAUGCUGACUAGGGAUUGGACGAUGUUUCUAUUAUGAUCGGUUCAAUAUCUUACAAGAUAUCAAAAGUCUGUGGGAU
rnacentral:rRNA from 1 species